rnacentral:rRNA from 1 species
GGUUAAGCGACUAAGCGUACACGGUGGAUGCCCUGGCAGUCAGAGGCGAUGAAGGACGUGCUAAUCUGCGAAAAGCGUCGGUAAGGUGAUAUGAACCGUUAUAACCGGCGAUGUCCGAAUGGGGAAACCCAGUGCAAUUCGUUGCACUAUCGUUAACUGAAUACAUAGGUUAACGAGGCGAACCGGGGGAACUGAAACAUCUAAGUACCCCGAGGAAAAGAAAUCAACCGAGAUUCCCCCAGUAGCGGCGAGCGAACGGGGAGCAGCCCAGAGUCUGAAUCAGCUUGUGUGUUAGUGGAACGGUCUGGAAAGUCCGACGGUACAGGGUGAUAGUCCCGUACACCAAAAUGCACAGGCUGUGAACUCGAAGAGUAGGGCGGGACACGUGGUAUCCUGUCUGAAUAUGGGGGACCAUCCUCCAAGGCUAAAUACUCCUGACUGACCGAUAGUGAACCAGUACCGUGAGGGAAAGGCGAAAAGAACCCCGGCGAGGGGAGUGAAAAAGAACCUGAAACCGUGUACGUACAAGCAGUGGGAGCACCUUCGGGUGUGACUGCGUACCUUUUGUAUAAUGGGUCAGCGACUUAUAUUCUGUAGCAAGGUUAACCGUAUAGGGGAGCCGCAGGGAAACCGAGUCUUAACUGGGCGUUAAGUUGCAGGGUAUAGACCCGAAACCCGGUGAUCUAGCCAUGGGCAGGUUGAAGGUUGGGUAACACUAACUGGAGGACCGAACCGACUAAUGUUGAAAAAUUAGCGGAUGACUUGUGGCUGGGGGUGAAAGGCCAAUCAAACCGGGAGAUAGCUGGUUCUCCCCGAAAGCUAUUUAGGUAGCGCCUCGUGAACUCAUCUUCGGGGUAGAGCACUGUUUCGGCUAGGGGGUCAUCCCGACUUACCAACCCGAUGCAAACUACGAAUACCGAAGAAUGUUAUCACGGGAGACACACGGCGGGUGCUAACGUCCGUCGUGAAGAGGGAAACAACCCAGACCGCCAGCUAAGGUCCCAAAGUCAUGGUUAAGUGGGAAACGAUGUGGGAAGGCACAGACAGCCAGGAUGUUGGCUUAGAAGCAGCCAUCAUUUAAAGAAAGCGUAAUAGCUCACUGGUCGAGUCGGCCUGCGCGGAAGAUGUAACGGGGCUAAACCAUGCACCGAAGCUGCGGCAGCGACACUAUGUGUUGUUGGGUAGGGGAGCGUUCUGUAAGCCUGCGAAGGUGUGCUGUGAGGCAUGCUGGAGGUAUCAGAAGUGCGAAUGCUGACAUAAGUAACGAUAAAGCGGGUGAAAAGCCCGCUCGCCGGAAGACCAAGGGUUCCUGUCCAACGUUAAUCGGGGCAGGGUGAGUCGACCCCUAAGGCGAGGCCGAAAGGCGUAGUCGAUGGGAAACAGGUUAAUAUUCCUGUACUUGGUGUUACUGCGAAGGGGGGACGGAGAAGGCUAUGUUAGCCGGGCGACGGUUGUCCCGGUUUAAGCAUGUAGGCUGAUUGUCCAGGCAAAUCCGGAUAAUCAAGGCUGAGGUGUGAUGACGAGGCACUACGGUGCUGAAGUAACAAAUGCCCUGCUUCCAGGAAAAGCCUCUAAGCAUCAGGUAACAUUAAAUCGUACCCCAAACCGACACAGGUGGUCAGGUAGAGAAUACCAAGGCGCUUGAGAGAACUCGGGUGAAGGAACUAGGCAAAAUGGUGCCGUAACUUCGGGAGAAGGCACGCUGGUGUGUAGGUGAAGUCCCUGCGGAUGGAGCUGAGACCAGUCGAAGAUACCAGCUGGCUGCAACUGUUUAUUAAAAACACAGCACUGUGCAAACACGAAAGUGGACGUAUACGGUGUGACGCCUGCCCGGUGCCGGAAGGUUAAUUGAUGGGGUUAUCCGUAAGGAGAAGCUCUUGAUCGAAGCCCCGGUAAACGGCGGCCGUAACUAUAACGGUCCUAAGGUAGCGAAAUUCCUUGUCGGGUAAGUUCCGACCUGCACGAAUGGCGUAAUGAUGGCCAGGCUGUCUCCACCCGAGACUCAGUGAAAUUGAACUCGCUGUGAAGAUGCAGUGUACCCGCGGCAAGACGGAAAGACCCCGUGAACCUUUACUAUAGCUUGACACUGAACAUUGAGCCUUGAUGUGUAGGAUAGGUGGGAGGCUUUGAAGCGUGGACGCCAGUCUGCGUGGAGCCAACCUUGAAAUACCACCCUUUAAUGUUUGAUGUUCUAACGUUGGCCCCUGACCGGGGUUGCGGACAGUGUCUGGUGGGUAGUUUGACUGGGGCGGUCUCCUCCCAAAGCGUAACGGAGGAGCACGAAGGUUAGCUAAUCCUGGUCGGACAUCAGGAGGUUAGUGCAAUGGCAUAAGCUAGCUUGACUGCGAGCGUGACGGCGCGAGCAGGUGCGAAAGCAGGUCAUAGUGAUCCGGUGGUUCUGAAUGGAAGGGCCAUCGCUCAACGGAUAAAAGGUACUCCGGGGAUAACAGGCUGAUACCGCCCAAGAGUUCAUAUCGACGGCGGUGUUUGGCACCUCGAUGUCGGCUCAUCACAUCCUGGGGCUGAAGUAGGUCCCAAGGGUAUGGCUGUUCGCCAUUUAAAGUGGUACGCGAGCUGGGUUUAGAACGUCGUGAGACAGUUCGGUCCCUAUCUGCCGUGGGCGCUGGAGAAUUGAGGGGGGCUGCUCCUAGUACGAGAGGACCGGAGUGGACGCAUCACUGGUGUUCGGGUUGUCAUGCCAAUGGCACUGCCCGGUAGCUAAAUGCGGAAGAGAUAAGUGCUGAAAGCAUCUAAGCACGAAACUUGCCCCGAGAUGAGUUCUCCCUGAGACUUUAAGUCUCCUGAAGGAACGUUAAAGACGAUGACGUUGAUAGGCCGGGUGUGUAAGCGCAGCGAUGCGUUGAGCUAACCGGUACUAAUGAACCGUGAGGCUUAACCUU